rnacentral:rRNA from 1 species
UACGGGGGGGGCAAGCGUUGUUCGGAAUUACUGGGCGUAAAGGGCUCGUAGGUGGCCAACUAAGUCAGACGUGAAAUCCCUCAGCUUAACUGGGGAACUGCGUCUGAUACUGGAUGGCUUGAGAUUGGGAGAGGGAUGCGGAAUUCCUGGUGUAGCGGUGAAAUGCGCAGAUAUCAGGAAGAACACCCGUGGCGAAGGCGGCUCUCUGGGACGGUACUGACGCUGAGACGCGAAAGCGUGGGGAGCGAACAGG